AGUGAACGCUGGCGGUAGGCCUAACACAUGCAAGUCGAACGGCAGCACAGUAAGAGCUUGCUCCUACGGGUGGCGAGGGGCGGACGGGGGGGGAAUACAUCGGAAUCUACUUUUUCGUGGGGGAUAACGUAGGGAAACUUACGCUAAUAACGCAUAAGAACUACGGGUGAAAGCAGGGGAUCUUCGGAACUUGCGCGAUUGAAUGAGCCGAUGGCGGAUUAGCUAGUUGGCGGGGUAAAGGCCCACCAAGGCGACGAUCCGUAGCUGGUCUGAGAGGAUGAUCAGCCACACUGGAACUGAGACACGGUCCAGACUCCUACGGGAGGCAGCAGUGGGGAAUAUUGGACAAUGGGCGCAAGCCUGAUCCAGCCAUACCGCGUGGGUGAAGAAGGCCUUCGGGUUGUAAAGCCCUUUUGUUGGGAAAGAAAAGCAGCAGGUUAAUACCCCGCUGUUCUGACGGUACCCAAAGAAUAAGCACCGGCUAACUUCGUG
rnacentral:rRNA from 1 species